rnacentral:rRNA from 1 species
AUUGAACGCUGGCGGCAUGCUUUACACAUGCGAGUCGAACGGUAACAGGCCGCAAGGUGCUGACGAGUGGCGGACGGGGGAGUAAUGCAUCGGAACGUGCCCAGUCGUGGGGGAUAACUACGCGAAAGGGUAGCUAAUACCGCAUACGAUCUAUGAAUGAAAGCGGGGGACAGUAAGGCCUCGCGCGAUUGGGGCGGCCGAUGUGAGAUUAGGUAGUUGGUGGGGUAAAGGCUCACCAAGCCAACGAUCUGUAGCUGGUCUGAGAGGACGACCAGCCACACUGGAACUGAGACACGGCCCAGACUCCUACGGGAGGCAGCAGUGGGGAAUUUUGGACAAUGGGCGCAAGCCUGAUCCAGCAAUGCCGCGUGCAUGAAGAAGGCCUUCGGGUUGUAAACUGCUUUUGUACGGAACGAAACGGCGCUGGUUAAUACCCGGGGGUAAUGACGGUACCGUAAGAAUAAGCACCGGCUAACUACGUG